rnacentral:rRNA from 1 species
UGGCGAACGGGUGAGUAACACGUGGGUGAUCUGCCCUGCACUCUGGGAUAAGCCUGGGAAACUGGGUCUAAUACCGGAUAGGACCAUGCUUUAGUGUGUGUGGUUGAAAGUUUUUUCGGUGUAGGAUGAGCCCGCUGCCUAUCAGCUUGUUGGUGGGGUAAUGGCCUACCAAGGCGGCGACGGGUAGCCGGACUGAGAGGUUGGUCGGCCACAUUGGGACUGAGAUACGGCCCAG